rnacentral:rRNA from 1 species
CGGAAACAGGCUACUGUGUCACGUAGCAGUACUGAAGCUGAGUACAAGGCUGUGGCUAAUGCUACUGCAGAGAUUAUUUGGGUGCAGUCUUUGCUUCAGGAGUUGAGUUUGUCUCAACCACAGCCUCCUAUUCUUUGGUGUGAUAACAUCGGUGCUACAUAUCUUUCUGCAAAUCCAGUAUUUCAUGCCCGAACGAAACACAUUGAAGUUGACUAUCACUUUGUACGGGAACGUGUAUCACAGAAGCAACUCCAGAUCAAGUUUAUCUCAUCUAAGGAUCAACUUGCAGACAUCUUC